AGAAANNNGUCUGAAAAAAGAGUUACUUUGAUAGAGUAAAUCAUAGAGGUUUAAACCCUCUUAUUUCUA
rnacentral:tRNA from 1 species